GGUUCACUUUAACACUGAGGCGUGACGACGAGGCACUACGGUGCUGAAGCAACAAAUGCCCUGCUUCCAGGAAAAGCCUCUAAGCAUCAGGUAACAUCAAAUCGUACCCCAAACCGACACAGGUGGUCAGGUAGAGAAUACCAAGGCGCUUGAGAGAACUCGGGUGAAGGAACUAGGCAAAAUGGUGCCGUAACUUCGGGAGAAGGCACGCUGACACGUAGGUGAAGUGAUUUACUCAUGGAGCUGAAGUCAGUCGAAGAUACCAGCUGGCUGCAACUGUUUAUUAAAAACACAGCACUGUGCAAACACGAAAGUGGACGUAUACGGUGUGACGCCUGCCCGGUGCCGGAAGGUUAAUUGAUGGGGUCAGCGCAAGCGAAGCUCCUGAUCGAAGCCCCGGUAAACGGCGGCCGUAACUAUAACGGUCCUAAGGUAGCGAAAUUCCUUGUCGGGUAAGUUCCGACCUGCACGAAUGGCGUAAUGAUGGCCAGGCUGUCUCCACCCGAGACUCAGUGAAAUUGAACUCGCUGUGAAGAUGCAGUGUACCCGCGGCAAGACGGAAAGACCCCGUGAACCUUUACUAUAGCUUGACACUGAACAUUGAGCCUUGAUGUGUAGGAUAGGUGGGAGGCUUUGAAGUGUGGACGCCAGUCUGCAUGGAGCCGACCUUGAAAUACCACCCUUUAAUGUUUGAUGUUCUAACGUGGACCCGUUACCCGGGUUGCGGACAGUGUCUGGUGGGUAGUUUGACUGGGGCGGUCUCCUCCUAAAGAGUAACGGAGGAGCACGAAGGUUGGCUAAUCCUGGUCGGACAUCAGGAGGUUAGUGCAAUGGCAUAAGCCAGCUUGACUGCGAGCGUGACGGCGCGAGCAGGUGCGAAAGCAGGUCAUAGUGAUCCGGUGGUUCUGAAUGGAAGGGCCAUCGCUCAACGGAUAAAAGGUACUCCGGGGAUAACAGGCUGAUACCGCCCAAGAGUUCAUAUCGACGGCGGUGUUUGGCACCUCGAUGUCGGCUCAUCACAUCCUGGGGCUGAAGUAGGUCCCAAGGGUAUGGCUGUUCGCCAUUUAAAGUGGUACGCGAGCUGGGUUUAGAACGUCGUGAGACAGUUCGGUCCCUAUCUGCCGUGGGCGCUGGAGAACUGAGGGGGGCUGCUCCUAGUACGAGAGGACCGGAGUGGACGCAUCACUGGUGUUCGGGUUGUCAUGCCAAUGGCACUGCCCGGUAGCUAAAUGCGGAAGAGAUAAGUGCUGAAAGCAUCUAAGCACGAAACUUGCCCCGAGAUGAGUUCUCCCUGAGACUUAGAGUCUCCUGAAGGAACGUUGAAGACGACGACGUUGAUAGGCCG
rnacentral:rRNA from 1 species